rnacentral:rRNA from 1 species
UCUGGAUCAGUACUGACACUGAGGAACGAAAGCAUGGGUAGCGAAGAGGAUUAGAUACCCUCGUAGUCCAUGCCGUAAACGAUGUGUGUUAGAUGUUGGAAAUUUAUUUUCAGUAUCGCAGCGAAAGCAAUAAACACACCGCCUGGGGAGUACGACCGCAAGGUUAAAACUCAAAUGAAUUGACGGGGACCCGCACAAGUAGUGGAGCAUGUGGUUUAAUUCGAAGAUACGCGCAGAACCUUACCAACACUUGACAUGUUCGUCGCGACUCUAAGAGAUUAGAGUUUUCGGUUCGGCCGGACGAAACACAGGUGCUGCAUGGCUGUCGUCAGCUCGUGUCGUGAGAUGUUGGGUUAAGUCCCGCAACGAGCGCAACCCUUACUUUUAGUUGCUACCAUUCAGUUGGGCACUCUGAAAGAACUGCCAGUGAUAAGCUGGAGGAAGGUGGGGAUGACGUCAAGUCCUCAUGGCCCUUACGUGUUGGGCUACACACGUGCUACAAUGGCAUUUACAAUAGGAAGCAAGACGGCGACGUCAAGCAAAUCCUAAAAAAAUGCCUCAGUUCGGAUUGUACUCUGCAACUCGAGUACAUGAAGCUGGAAUUACUAGUAAUCGCGGAUCAGCGCGCCGCGGUGAAUACGUUCCCGGGUCUUGUACACACCGCCCGUCACACCAUGGGAGUUGGUUCUACCUUAAGGCAAAGUUUAAAACCUUUGACCACGGUAUAGUCAGCGACUGGGGUGAAGUCGUAACAAGGUAA